GGCGGGGAAGUCCCAACGUGGUUAGCGUGAUGGUCGCUCCCGUAUGCACAGUGGACUGUAAAUCCGUCGGCGUACGCCUACCAAGGUUCGAAUCCUUGACCCGCCA
rnacentral:tRNA from 1 species